UGCGAGCUGUUUAUUUAUGGCUGGAAAUGUGUGUGUGAAAGAAAGAAUUGAUCUUUCCCCGGAUUUAAAGAUGGAGCAAAGGGCGCUGGAGGGAAUUUUUGUUUGCUUAUUUUGCUUAGACCCAGCUCACAAAUUGGGCGUGAUGGGGGGAGGGAGAUGCCUGUUCCUCCCUCCACCCUUCACCUCACGACCUUCCUGGACCUCGAACCCCUCAGCAGCCUGGGCGGACCCGGACCCCGGAGGACUUGUCCAGCGGUCUGUUGGCUCGCCUGCUCCGAAGUGGGCUGCAGAAGAGGGCUUCACAGAGGGGGCCACCCCUGCCCCUUCUCUUUAUAUGAGUCCAAUAAAAGGGGGCAAUCCUAGGAUGCGAACCUGAUCGGAUGUCAAAGAGGCAACUUGCCAUGAAAUCCGCUAACGCACCGCGACUCACCGGGGAAUUGGUGGUGACGUAUUCAUUACAUUCAGACAUGUGGAUAUGCAUAAAGAUUGGCACUUCUACGUGAGUUGGCUUGCCCUCUUGGGCUUUAAAGAUUCGACCACUUUGGAGAAGACCUGCCCACUUGAAUUGGGUCUAUUUGGUUUCACUGGCCUAGGUUAGUUUAGGGAACCUGAUUUCAGUCCCUAGCAAAGGUAGGGAGAACAGAAAUGACCUAUAACUCUUGACCAACAAUAAUACAACAAUCAAGUCUACAUCAGCAAAG